rnacentral:rRNA from 1 species
GGCUUGUUGAUAAUAAUUUCAAGUUUUACCUGCCCACUGAUUUCAUUAAAUGGCCGCGGUAUAUUGACCGUGCAAAGGUAGCAUAAUCAUUAGUUUUUUAAUUGAAAGCUUGUAUGAAAGGUUUGAUGAAAAAAUAUCUGUCUCUAAAGGAGUUAAUUAGAAUUUUAUUUUUAAGUAAAAAAGCUUGAAUGUUUAUAGAAGACGAGAAGACCCUAUAGAGUUUUAUUUAUGAAAAAAUAUGUGAUGUAUAGGUAUUUAUUUUUCAAUAUGUUUUUAUAAGUUUUGCUGGGGUGGUGAAAAAAUUAAUAAAACUUUUUUUUGAUAGAAAAUAUUGGUGUUUAGGUUUAUGAUCCUUAAUAAAGAUUAAAAGAUUAAAUUACCUUAGGGAUAACAGCGUUAUUUUUUUUAGAGUUCAUAUCAAAAAAAAAGAUUGCGACCUCGAUGUUGGAUUAAAAUUUAUUGCUGGUGAAGAAGCUAGUAGAAUAAGUCUGUUCGACUUUUAAAAUUUUACAUGAUCUGAGUUUAAACCGGUGUGAG